rnacentral:rRNA from 1 species
GACGAACGCUGGCGGCGUGCUUAACACAUGCAAGUCGAGCGGUAAGGCCCUUUCGGGGGUACACGAGCGGCGAACGGGUGAGUAACACGUGGGUGACCUGCCCUUAGCUCUGGGAUAAGCCUGGGAAACUGGGUCUAAUACCGGAUAUGACUCCAUGACGCAUGUUGUGGGGUGGAAAGCCUUGUGCGGCUAGGGAUGGGCCCGCGGCCUAUCAGCUUGUUGGUGGGGUGAUGGCCUACCAAGGCGACGACGGGUAGCCGGCCUGAGAGGGCGACCGGCCACACUGGGACUGAGACACGGCCCAGACUCCUACGGGAGGCAGCAGGUGGGGAAUCUUGCGCAAUGGGCGAAAGCCUGACGCAGCGACGCCGCGUGGGGAUGACGGCCUCGGUGUA